rnacentral:lncRNA from 1 species
GAUGAUGGGUGGGGAGGCCCAGGAACAGAUGGUGGGGACAAAAUCUCCAUCCUUUGAAGAAGUUCCAACAGCUGGGACCAAAGUUCCAGAUCUAAAGCUGUCACUUUCUACAGCAAGGCUACUCCCAACUCAGAUGGUAACAUCGUAAAGCAAACCGUCCCUGAUGCAGUGGCUUUGUGUACGUUCCAGCUUGUCAUUCUACCUCAUCAGCCUCUGAGCACAAGUUGGCCUGACACCCGUCUCGCCAAAGCUGGUCUACAUUCUUCUCCAUCCCUGUCCUCCACCUUGCCUUUUUCCCUGUUUUUGGCAAACAGAAUCUUGAUGAGGACAUUUCAACUGGAUAUGAAGGGGACUUCCCCUGAGAUUUUUAAAGAAGGACCAGGCUCUGAACAGAGGUGUCACUACCACAAGGGCCGGAAGCAGAUACCACACAGGGUGCUCAGCUGGCUCGAAGGCUCUGCUUGUUUCAUCAGCUGGGGAAGCCUGCAACAGCCUGCGAAGUGUCACACACCAGCCGCCAGCAAAUCAACAGCCCCAAAACUCCUGGGAAACUCUCAGGGCACCACAAGAAGAGGCUGACGUCAACCUAGACGCUGGAGGACUUUGAACAAAACUUGAAAAACCAUUCCUUUGCCCUUUACUUGGUAACAUGAUAAAGAGAUCUUUCUCUGGGGAGAUGGGCCAAUUUACUUCAAGGGGUGCAUUUAAUUGAAAUAUGUAUAUUUAACAUAUAUA